rnacentral:lncRNA from 1 species
GCCUCCAAGGAUCCGCAGAUGCUGUCCCACCCCAAAUACCUUCUGUGCUCUUCUCACCCUGCAGAAGUCCCCAAUAAAAGAAGCAACAAAAGUUGCAGUCUUUCUGCUCCCUGGUUGUGCAGCAUCCGACACAGGGUGCUUGGAAUAAGGAGGAAGACCUCUGAGUAGCUCCUACGAUUCACAGAGCAAACAGAAGGGCUGGACUGCGUUGUGGAUGAGAACAAGAGGAGGCAGCACAUAUGUAAAACUCCUUUGCUGCACAGGAAAGCUGUUUGUACAGUGCUGCUAUUGUUUGGAGCUGUAAGAGAACAGAACAUGUUCAUAUAUAAAAGUAGUUUUUAGGGGCAUGUAUAAACUGUCCAAACAGGGAAAUUUUCACAAGAUCAUCAGAAGGAGCAUCUUUGGUACCAAUUUAUUCAUUCUGCUAAAUGUUAAUUUGCUGUUCAAACCAUGGAAACAUUAAUCUCCUCCAGCCUAACCGCCUUCAGAAAUGUUUUGUCACAUGGAAAAUUAAAUGCAUUUUCUCAAUUUUAUUCCUCACAAAAGUUAGCAAAAGCAACUUAGGAGCCAAAAAGCAACGUCAGGCUGAGCUAAAUGGCCAUCUCAGCAAACAUGAGUCCCAAAGGACAGGCAUUUGUCCAGAUUAAAGCAACUGUAAAAAGGAUUUUAAAAGAGAAAAUGCCAGCAAAGCUUAUGAGCAAAUAACAGUCCUCUGUACCACCUCUAACAUUUACCUCAAAUUACCCCCAUGAUUUCCUAUUCUUUCCUAGAAAGUGUUCCAGCCCUAAAGUUUUCUGCACAAUUUGUCUUGUUCACCGUCUUUCUGACAGCAUUACCAUGUUCAGCGCAAGAACCAAGACUCCUGUGGGAUCGAUAUCCCACAGUACCCCAGAACAAAGGAACUACCAGUUGCAGAUGUCGGAACAUCAGCAAAACAUCCCAGGGCACAGCCACCCAUCUGCAGAGAAUCUGGAAUCAAUUUACAAGAUGUAUAAAAAGUAUUGUAAAAUUUUUUGAGACCCUCACAAGCUGUCACAUUUAG